UCAAACACCAGGCUGGGGGGGGGGGGAAGAGGGAGGGGCGUGGGGUGAAUCGGAAUUACGGGGCGGAAAGCGGGCGACGUGGGGUGGUUAAGCGAGAGGGGAAAGCCCUGGGCGCAACCUAGGAAUAGCAUUUCGAACUGGCGAACUAGAGUCUUGUAGAGGGGGGUAGAACUCCAGGUGUAGCGGUGAAAUGCGUAGAGAUCUGGAGGAAUACCGGUGGCGAAGGCGGCCCCCUGGACAAAGACUGACGCUCAUGCACGAAAGCGUGGGGAGCAAACAGGAUUAGAUACCCGGGUAGUC
rnacentral:rRNA from 1 species